rnacentral:rRNA from 1 species
UACGUAGGGUGCGAACGUUAAUCGGAAUUACUGGGCGUAAAGGGUGCGCAGGCGGUCUCGUAAGCUGGGUGUGAAAGCCCCGGGCUUAACCUGGGAAUGGCAUUCAGGACUGCGAGGCUUUGAGUGCGGCAGAGGGAGGUGGAAUUCCACGUGUAGCAGUGAAAUGCGUAGAGAUGUGGAGGAACACCGAUGGCGAAGGCAGCCUCCUGGGCCAGCACUGACGCUCAUGCACGAAAGCGUGGGGAGCAAACAGG